AUACUAGGUGUGGGGGUUUCAACACCUCCGUGCCGCCGCUAACGCAUUAAGUAUUCCGCCUGGGGAGUACGGUCGCAAGAUUAAAACUCAAAGGAAUUGACGGGGACCCGCACAAGUAGCGGAGCAUGUGGUUUAAUUCGAAGCAACGCGAAGAACCUUACCUACACUUGACAUCCCUUGCAUUACUCUUAAUCGAGGAAAUCCCUUCGGGGACAAGGUGACAGGUGGUGCAUGGUUGUCGUCAGCUCGUGUCGUGAGAUGUUGGGUUAAGUCCCGCAACGAGCGCAACCCUUGUCGUUAGUUACUACCAUUAAGUUGAGGACUCUAGCGAGACUGCCUGGGUUAACCAGGAGGAAGGUGGGGAUGACGUCAAAUCAUCAUGCCCCUUAUGUGUAGGGCUACACACGUGCUACAAUGGCUGGUACAGAGAGAUGCAAUACCGCGAGGUGGAGCCAAACUUAAAAACCAGUCUCAGUUCGGAUUGUAGGCUGAAACUCGCCUACAUGAAGCUGGAGUUACUAGUAAUCGCGAAUCAGAAUGUCGCGGUGAAUACGUUCCCGGGUCUUGUACACACCGCCCGUCACACCAUGAGAGUUGGCAAUACCCGAAGUCCGUGAGCUAACCGCAAGGAGGCAGCGGCCGAAGGUAGGGUCAGCGAUUGGGGUGAAGUCGUAACAAGGUAGCCGUAGGAGAACCUGCGGCUGGAUCACCUCCUUUCUAAGGA
rnacentral:rRNA from 1 species